rnacentral:rRNA from 1 species
AGAGUUUGAUCCUGGCUCAGAACGUACGCUGGCGGCACGCCUAAUACUUGCAAGUCGAACGAAGUAGCAAUACUUAGUGGCAGACGGGUGAGUAACAUGUAGGUAUCUACCCUUUGGUCUGGAAUAACACGAGGAAACUUGUGCUAAUACCGGAUAAGUCUUUACGGAGAAAGCUUUAUGCACCAUUGGAUGAGCCUGCACUUGAUUAGUUUGUUGGUGGGGUAAUGGCCUACCAAGACAAUGAUCAAUAGCUGAUUUGAGAGGAUGAUCAGCCACAUUGGGACUGAGACACGGCCCAAACUCCUACGGGAGGCAGCAGUAGGGAAUCUUGCACAAUGGAGGAAACUCUGAUGCAGCGAUGCCGCGUGAGUGAAGAAGGCCUUUGGGUUGUAAAGCUCUUUCGUCGGGGAAGAAAAUGACUGUACCCGAAUAAGAAGGUCCGGCUAACUUCGUGCCAGCAGCCGCGGUAAUACGAAGGGACCUAGCGUAGUUCGGAAUUACUGGGCUUAAAGAGUUCGUAGGUGGUUAAAAAAGUUGGUGGUGAAAUCCCAGAGCUUAACUCUGGAACUGCCAUCAAAACUUUUUAGCUAGAGUAUGGUAGAGGAAAGCAGAAUUUCUAGUGUAGAGGUGAAAUUCGUAGAUAUUAGAAAGAAUACCAAUUGCGAAGGCAGCUUUCUGGAUCAUUACUGACACUGAGGAACGAAAGCAUGGGUAGCGAAGAGGAUUAGAUACCCUCGUAGUCCAUGCCGUAAACGAUGUGUGUUAGACGUUGGAAAUUUAUUUUCAGUGUCGCAGCGAAAGCGAUAAACACACCGCCUGGGGAGUACGACCGCAAGGUUAAAACUCAAAUGAAUUGACGGGGACCCGCACAAGUAGUGGAGCAUGUGGUUUAAUUCGAAGAUACGCGCAGAACCUUACCAACACUUGACAUGUUCGUCGCAACUCUAAGAGAUUAGAGUUUUCGGUUCGGCCGGACGAAACACAGGUGCUGCAUGGCUGUCGUCAGCUCGUGUCGUGAGAUGUUGGGUUAAGUCCCGCAACGAGCGCAACCCUCACUUUUAGUUGCCAUCAUUUAGUUGGGCACUCUGAAAGAACUGCCAGUGAUAAGCUGGAGGAAGGUGGGGAUGACGUCAAGUCCUCAUGGCCCUUAUGUGUUGGGCUACACACGUGCUACAAUGGUAUCUACAACAGGAAGCAAGAUGGCAACAUUAAGCAAAUCCCAAAAAGAUACCUUAGUUCGGAUUGCACUCUGCAACUCGAGUGCAUGAAGCUGGAAUUACUAGUAAUCGUGGAUCAGCGUGCCACGGUGAAUACGUUCCCGGGUCUUGUACACACCGCCCGUCACACCAUGGGAGUUGGUUCUACCUUAAGGCAAAGUUUAAAACCUUUGACCACGGUAUAGUCAGCGACUGGGGUGAAGUCGUAACAAGGUAACC